rnacentral:rRNA from 1 species
AGUCCGUUUUCAAACCCUUUCCCCUGUUUUACAAAAACAUGGCUUUUUGUGAAUUGUUUAAGGUCUGGCCUGCUCAAUGAUGAUUAAUUGAAUAGCCGCAGUAUUUUGACUGUGCAAAGGUAGCAUAAUCAUUAGUUUUUUAAUUGGAAGCUGGUAUGAAUGGUCGGAUGAGGAAAUAACUGUCUCAUGAAUAAUUUGAAUUGAAUUUUAUUUUUAAGUAAAAAAGCUUAAAUUUUAUAUAAAGACGAGAAGACCCUAUAGAGUUUAAUAGACUAAAAUAUAUAAGGAUUUUGGAUUUAAGUUUUUUGUAUUGAUUUCUAUUUGGUUGGGGUGACAAUAGAAUUGAAUGAACUUCUUUAUGUUUAUACAUUGAUUAAUGAUUAAUUGAUCCUUUAUUGAAGAUUAAAAGAAAAAAUUACCUUAGGGAUAACAGCGUUAUCUUUUCAGAGAGUUCUAAUCGAUGAAAGGGAUUGCGACCUCGAUGUUGGAUUAAAGUUAAUUCUUGGUGCAGAAGCUAGGAUAUUGAGUCUGUUCGACUUUUGAAACUUUACAUGAUCUGAGUUCAACCGGACCGGGGACGUGGCCUAAGGGGACUGG